GUGCAUUGGAAGAGGGGUAGUCUUAUACGGCGAGUAUAUCCCAAACUCUAUAUUUUAACUGGAAAAGUUGGGGGUCGUCUUAUACGCCCAGUCGUCUUAUACGCCGGAAAAUACGGUUUAUAAAAUAAAAUGGGUACUCACAUAUGAUUGAGCAGACGAACUGUGUAGUUUGCAUAUUGUAUAAUCUGUGCCCUUUCUGCCUUUGGAAGCAGUAUCAUC